rnacentral:rRNA from 1 species
GGAUUCCCCUAGUAACUGCGAGUGAAGCGGGAAAAGCUCAAAUUUGAAAUCUGGCAGUUUUUGACUGUCCGAGUUGUAAUCUAGAGAAGUGUUACCUGUGCUGGACCGUGUACAAGUCUCCUGGAAUGGAGCAUCAUAGAGGGUGAGAAUCCCGUCUUUGACACGGACUACCUGUACAUUGUGGUAUGCUCUCAAAGAGUCGAGUUGUUUGGGAAUGCAGCUCAAAAUGGGUGGUAAAUGCCAUCUAAAGCUAAAUAUUGGCGAGAGACCGAUAGCGAACAAGUACCGUGAGGGAAAGAUGAAAAGAACUUUGGAAAGAGAGUUAAACAGUACGUGAAAUUGCUGAAAGGGAAACGCUUGAAGUCAGUCACGUUGGCUGGAAAUCAGCCUUGCUUCUGCUUGGUGUACUUUCUGGUUGAUGGGUCAGCAUCAAUUUUGACCACUGGAUAAAGUCUCUGGGAAUGUGGCAUCUUUUUUAGAUGUGUUAAAGCCCAUUGUCGCAUACAGUGGUUGGGAUUGAGGAACUCAGCACGCCCUGCAAGGGGCCAGGUUUCGAUCAUGUUCGUGCUUAGGAUGCUGGCAUAAUGGCUUCAAUCGACCCGUCUUGAAACACGGACCAAGGAGUCUAACAUGCCUGCGAGUGUUUGGGUGGAAAACCCAUGCGCGCAAUGAAAGUGAAAGUUGAGAUCUCUGUAAAGGGAGAGCAUUGACGCCUGGACCAGACCUUUUGUGACGGAUCCACGGUAGAGCAUGUAUGUUGGGACCCGAAAGAUGGUGAACUAUGCCUGAAUAGGGUGAAGCCAGAGGAAACUCUGGUGGAGGCUCGUAGCGAUUCUGACGUGCAAAUCGAUCGUCAAAUUUGGGUAUAGGGGGCGAAAGACUAAUCGAACCAUCUAGUAGCUGGUCCUGC